rnacentral:rRNA from 1 species
AGCGCACCCCUGUCGUCGUUAUACGUGUCUGACGAGACUGCCGGUCAUAAGCCGGAGGAAGGCGGGGAUGAUGUCAAGUCCGCAUGGCCUUUAUAUCCGGGGCUACACACACGCUACAAUGGCCGGUACAAUGGGUCGCCAAGCCGCGAGGCGGAGCCAAUCCUAUAAAGCCGGUCUCAGUUCGGAUUGCAGGCUGCAACCCGCCUGCAUGAAGUCGGAGUUGCUAGUAACCGCGCGUCAGCCAUAGUGCGGUGAAUACGUUCCCGGGCCU